rnacentral:misc_RNA from 1 species
AGGUGGGGCUGAUGACUGGGGUGAAGUCGUAACAAGGUAGCCGUACCGGAAGGUGCGGCUGGAUCACCUCCUAACAGGGAGACAAACAACGAUUUUGAUGUCUGAGUUUUUUUAUUCUUAGGCCAAAAUCCUGUCACCUUAGGUCGAUCGGUACCUCAACUUUGAAGCUAAGAGUAUUCAGCAAUGGAUAUCUGCUUAGUGGAAAUUUUUAGUUCCUAAACUUUGUCUAGUUCACAACCCAUUAGGGAUGAGACUCCUGGGCCAUUAGCUCAGGUGGUUAGAGCGCACCCCUGAUAAGGGUGAGGUCCCUGGUUCAAGUCCAGGAUGGCCCAUUCGGUGUAGGGGGUUUAGCUCAGUUGGUAGAGCGCCUGCUUUGCAAGCAGGAUGUCAGGAGUUCGAGUCUCCUAACCUCCACUGACUACCAAAAUCCCCAUCUCCAAAACCUGGAGUAUGAACUCGUAUGGAUUGUGAUUUAGAUAUGUCCGCUAGAUGACCCUAGCUUCUUGUCAUUUUAAGGCAUGGAAAAAAUUCCAUGAUAUUUAAUUGAUAGGAUGCUGGGCUCGAUUCAAUGUAUUGAGAGAUCAAUGCAUUGUUUUGAUGUCUGGUCGAACCUUGACAACUGCAUAGUAAGUCUGGAAAGAAUAAAGCAUCUUUAUGGAUGCAUCAUUCUUGAGUGUUAAUUCACGAUGGGGUGGUGUUAAUUCUAAAGCAAGAGCCGAGACUCCAGCAUGUUCUUUCAAAUGUGUCGAGCAUUUGAGAGUUUGAUUUUAAUUUCUAUUUUUAGAAGUUAGAAGAAUCUGUUUCAACGACAGCAAGCGUGUUGGAGAUACAUUGGUCAAGCUACAAAGGGCUCACGGC